ensembl:ncRNA T04F8.15 ncRNA
AAAAAUUUCGCUCCCGGGUGGGCUCGAACCACCAACCUUUCGGUUAACAGCCGAACGCGCUGCCUAUUGCGCCACGGAAGCACGCAGGAGA